AGUAUUAUUUAAUUUAGGAUGGUGGGUUUGUCACAAAACCAGAAUAAACAAGAUAAGAAUAGAGAAAGUCAUCCAUUUAAAUUUGGAGUCUUACUACAUCCAUCAAACAUCCGACACACAACAAACUCAAGAGGCAUCAUAUUACCAAACCAUCUUAAUUUUGGUCAUAAACCCCCCCAAAUUCGCUGCAAGUGUAGAAUAUAAAAAAAUGGUGGUGCAAUUUUUCUUCGCGGUGGCGUUCUCGGCGGUACCACUGACUCUAUACGUACCGCCGAUUAGGCACUUAACGCUAUUUGUGACGGCAAUUCAAGAGCUCAUCACUGAAACUACCGGAUAUCGUCGUAGAGUUUUCCCUCGGUUUCGCCGGGCCUUCCGUUUCUUACUCCAUCCUGCUUCAUCAACUUAGAUCCUAUUUCAUGCUCAUUUAAUCAUUCAUUACCAAAUCAGACUACUUUCGUGUACAUAUGAGUACCUCAUAAUAAUAAGUAUGUUCAUUUCUUUCUUUUUUUUUGUUAGAUUUGUUUUCUUCUAGUGAGUGAUUCUAGAUGCUUCUAUGAUUAGGAAUUGGUCAUGGAAGUAUUAGGUGCAAACUGUAAUUUGCGGAUGAUUUUUCCAACUGGCUUUGUUAGACUGUUAGUUGCUAUACAGUAAUUAUACUUCUAUGCUUUUAUCGUUUUCAUUGGAUUAUAUGUGAUGUUCACAGUUCACACAAUAUGAAAAUAAAAUUCUAGUUUUUUCAGCUCGCGACUUUCAAUUUCAGUUUUUUUCUUGAUUAGGAAUUGGUCAUGAAAGUUUAUGCUUGAGACUUUCAAUUUCAGUUUUUUUCUUGAUUCACUUUUUCUGUAGCGAUUACUGAUUAUAUACUUUUAGAAGCUGUUUUUGCUUUUAUUUUUUAGCUAAACUUUCUCUAUUGUCUAUAUCAGACUAGAUGACUGUCUUCCUCAAUCUCCCCUCGAUAGUUGUUCCUUACAAUAACUAGGGGGAGGGGAAAAUCCUAGUUACAAUGCUAUCACCAUCCAUAGUCCUACACGCUUUGGCCAAGAGAUCGGCCACUUUGUUGAAAAUCCUGCUGCAAUGUUUAAUCUGCAAGUCCGGCUUGUUCGUUAUCCACUGCCUGCACAUAGUAAGUAAGUUGGAGUAUAGGUCAGAAUGACCCCCCUUGAUCAGGUGGGUCGCAUCUUUGCAAUCAGAGUAUAUAAUCGCCUUUGGGAGGUUAUACUUCUCAACAAGAUAGAGGGCCUCAAGAAUUGCAAGAAGUUCACUGUUCUAUUUUUGUACAUUUACUACCUCUGUUUUAUUUUAAUCGUUACACUUUUAUAUUACUAUUUACAUGUGAGAUUUUGUUAGAUUCAUCAUAAUAUGUACUGUAUUUUAUUAAUAUGUACUUUUUAUAAUUUUUACAAAUACAAAAUUAAUUAGUAUA